rnacentral:lncRNA from 1 species
CUCUAGAUUCGCCUCUGGAAGGAACUAGAGUUGAAAUUCCACCGACAACGAAUUCUUCGAUUUCUUCUACAUCUAAUGAGGCUGGAGGGGAAGAAGAUUCUUCCAAAAGCAAGAAACUUAUGCAAGGAAAAGAAUGUCAAGAAGAAGGAGAUGACAAGUCUAGGAAAGAGUAAGUCAUUAUUUUUGCUCAAAUAUGAUAAUAUUAGCAAGUUUCUCCUUAGGGAUAUUUCUUUGUUAUCUUCUCAUGAAGAAGGAGAUGACAAGUCUAAGAAAGAGUAAGUCAUUUUUCUUUUGUGCUCACAUAAGAUAAUAUUAACAAUUUCUCCUUAGGGACGUUUCUUUAAUUUCUUAUCUUCAAGGAUUAGAUUAUCUAUUAAUUGGACUAAUUCUAGUCAUAGUUUAAUU